AUGGACAGCUCCCUGGCGCCCGGCUCAGGGCGCGGACUGCGGAAGGGAACAAGAGCGCGGAGCGUCCGCGCACCGUCAGCGGGAUUGGGCGGCGGAAGAGCACACUGCGUCUCUCUCCCACCUAUUUGGUUCCUCCCUUCCCCUCAGAGGGCAGCGAGAGGCCUGCAGUGGCUGUCCCGGGAGGCGAGUGCCUACAAGCGAGGGGACCGGCCGGAGCCGCAGCCGUCCUCCCCCCGCUCACCGCCUCUGCCCACUAGCAGUGCCAGAUCGCAGCGCCUCGCCCAGCCCCGGCGGGCGGGCGGGUGGGCGUCGCUGGCGCAAGGCCCGCCCAGCCCCUCCCGCCCCGCCAGAGCCUGGCCCCCGAUUGGCCGGCAGGCUGGAAGUGCGAGGAGGCGGAGCCCGCCUCUGCCGGCUCGCGCCCGGAAAGGUCGGCCGGGGAGCGCGGGGUGCCGCCGGGAGGGCGCGCGGGUGCGCGGCGGGCGCCUAGGGAGACGCAGCGGCGGUUGGAGCGGCGGCGCUUGGCUCGGGUCGCAACCUCUGCCUCCCGCCGCGGCCCGCAGUCCGCGGCGCCCGAGCUCCGAGGCGUUUUCCCGGGCGCUGGGCCCGCGGCGGCCAAGACGGCGGGCCGGCCGGGCGCGGGGCGGCGGGCACUGUGCUGCGGGCUGCGGUGGUGGGGGACGGCGGGCCGCGGCGCGGGCCCGGGGCCCGGCGCGUGCGGCUGGGAGGCGCUGUGGGGGGCUGGCGCGCGGGCGGCGGCCGGGGCCAUGGCCGAGGGCGGCGGGGCCGCGCGGAGGAGGGCGCCGGCGCUGCUCGAGGCGGCUCGCGCGCGCUACGAGAGCCUGCACAUCUCGGACGACGUGUUUGGCGAAUCGGGCCCGGACAGCGGCGGGAACCCCUUCUACAGCACGUCGGCCGCCUCGCGCUCCUCCUCGGCCGCCUCCUCGGACGACGAACCCGAGCGCCUCGGCCCCGCGCGGGGCCCCGGCUCCCCGGCGCCUGGCGCCCCCACCGCGCAGGAGUCGGAGGAGGACGAGGCUGGCGCGGGCUGGAGCUCCACACUGCGGGACCGCCCGCCCCCGCGCUUCGAAGACACUGGCGGUCCCACCCGGAAGAUGCCCCCCAGCGCCAGCGCCGUGGACUUCUUCCAGCUCUUCGUCCCUGACAACGUCCUCAAGAACAUGGUGGUGCAGACCAACCUGUACGCCAAGAAGUUCCAGGAGCGGUUCGGGAGCGACGGCGCCUGGGUGGACGUGACGCUGCCGGAGAUGAAGGCGUUCCUGGGCUACGUCAUCUCCACCAGCACCUCCCACUGCGAGUCGGUCCUCAGCAUCUGGAGCGGCGGCUUCUACAGCAACCGCAGCCUCGCGCUGGUCAUGAGCCAGGCCCGCUUCGAGAAGAUCCUCAAGUACUUCCACGUCGUGGCCUUCCGCUCCAGCCAGACCACACACGGCCUCUAUAAGGUCCAGCCCUUCCUGGACUCCCUGCAGAGCGGCUUCGAUUCUGCCUUCAGGCCUUCCCAAACCCAGGUGCUACAUGAACCCCUGAUUGACGAGGACCCCGUGUUCAUUGCCACAUGCACGGAGAGGGAGCUGCGGAAGAGGAAAAAGCGGAAAUUUAGCCUCUGGGUCCGGCAGUGCUCUUCCACCGGCUUCAUCAUCCAGAUUUAUGUCCACCUGAAGGAAGGCGGUGGCCCUGAUGGGCUGGAUGCACUGAAGAACAAGCCCCAGCUGCACAGCAUGGUGGCCAGGAGCCUGUGCCGGAACGCGGCCGGGAAGAACUACAUCAUCUUCACUGGGCCCAGCAUCACCAGCCUGACCCUGUUUGAAGAGUUUGAAAAGCAAGGGAUCUACUGCUGUGGCCUGCUCAGCUCCAGGAAGAGUGACUGCACCGGCCUGCCGCCCUCCAUGCUAAGCAGCCCAGCCACACCACCUGCCCGGGGCCAGCACAGCAUCCGGAUGAAGGGGAGCAUGUCCCUGAUCUGCUGGUACAACAAGGGGCACUUCCGCUUCCUGACCAAUGCCUACUCGCCCAUGCAGCAAGGAGCGAUCAUCAAGAGGAGGAGCGGGGAGAUCCCCUGCCCGCUGGCCGUGGAGGCCUUCGCGGCCCACCUCAGCUACAUCUGCAAGUACGACGACAAGUACAGCAAGUAUUUCAUUUCUCAUAAACCGAACAAGACCUGGCAACAGGUGUUCUGGUUUGCCGUCAGCAUAGCCGUCAAUAACGCCUACAUUCUGUACAAGAUGUCAGAUGCCUACCACGUGAAGAGGUACAGCCGGGCCCAGUUUGGUGAGAGACUCGUGCAAGAGCUGCUGGGCCUGGAGGAUACCUCUCCAAGCCUCUGAUGUCCUGGGCGUGGCCCGGGCUAGGCUUUGGGAUGUUCUUCCGUGUCGUCACUCCGUUAAUCGCAAGUGUUGCUGGCGGCAUGCUCCGGAUCACAUCGUAUCUGUACCCAGUUCACGACGGCCACCUCGCCCUGUGGCUUUAACUCGAUGCCACGGAUUGUAGGCCGAAUUUUAAAUUGUGUUUCAAAACACCUUUGCCGUGUCCUUUAAUUGGAUUGAAAGAACUUUUACCACAUGGAGAAAUCUAUUUUUAAUUUGUGAUGCUUUUCUACAAGGUCCACUAUUUCUGAGUUUAAUGCAUUUCCAACACUUAGGGAGACUAAUGGAAGCUGAUGAAUUUUCUUUUCUGUCCAAGUAAGUAAAAGAAAAAAUAAAAGUCUAUUUAGAUGUUGACUCUUUGUUAAU
rnacentral:lncRNA from 1 species